rnacentral:tRNA from 1 species
GCGCGGGUAGCCAAGUGGCCAAAGGCGCAGCGCUUAGGACGCUGUGGUGUAGACCUUCGCAGGUUCGAACCCUGUCCCGCGCAC